UACGGAGGAUCCAAGCGUUAUCCGGAUUCAUUGGGUUUAAAGGGUGCGUAGGCGGAAUGAUAAGUCAGUGGUGAAAUCCUGCAGCUUAACUGCAGAACUGCCAUUGAUACUGUCAAUCUUGAGUAUAUUUGAUGUGGGCGGAAUGUGUCAUGUAGCGGUGAAAUGCUUAGAUAUGACACAGAACACCGAUUGCGAAGGCAGCUCACAAAACUAUAACUGACGCUGAGGCACGAAGCGUGGGUAGUCAAACAGGAAUUAGAUACCGA
rnacentral:rRNA from 1 species